rnacentral:rRNA from 1 species
AGUGUAGGUGGCCGCAUAAGUCGGAUGUGAAAGCCCUGGGCUUAACCUGGGAAUGGCAUUCGAUACUGUGUGGCUAGAGUCUGAUAGAGGGAAGUGGAAUUCCAGGUGUAGCGGUGAAAUGCGUAGAUAUCUGGAGGAACAUCAGUGGCGAAGGCGGCUUCCUGGAUCAAGACUGACACUGAGGCUCGAAAGCGUGGGGAGCAAACA